GCUGGCGGCGUGCUUAACACAUGCAAGUCGAGCGGAAAGGCCCCUUCGGGGGUACUCGAGCGGCGAACGGGUGAGUAACACGUGGGUAAUCUGCCCAAGACACAGGAAUAACCAGUGGAAACGCUGGCUAAUGCCUGAUGAUGUGCCGGCCCCUCGGGGCUUGUACCAAAGGUAGCUUCGGCCUCCGGUCUUGGAUGAGCCCGCGUCCCAUUAGCUUGUUGGUGAGGUAACGGCCCACCAAGGCUUCGAUGGGUAGCUGGUCUGAGAGGACGAUCAGCCACACUGGGACUGAGACACGGCCCAGACUCCUACGGGAGGCAGCAGUGGGGAAUCUUGCGCAAUGGGCGAAAGCCUGACGCAGCAACGCCGCGUGCGGGAAGAAGGUCUUAGGGUUGUAAACCGCUUUCAGCAGGGACGAAGGCAUCCGGGUUAAUAGCCCGUAUGUUGACGGUACCUGCAGAAGAAGGUCCGGCUAACUACGUGCCAGCAGCCGCGGUAAUACGUAGGGACCGAGCGUUGUCCGGAAUCAUUGGGCGUAAAGA
rnacentral:rRNA from 1 species